rnacentral:tRNA from 1 species
GCGGGUGUAGCUCAAUGGCAGAGCAGAAGAUUUCCAAUCUUAUGACGAGGGUUCGAUUCCCUUCACCCGCUCCA